GACCAAGGAGUCUAGCAUGUGCGCGAGUCAUUGGGACUCUGAUAAACCUAAAGGCGCAAUGAAAGUAAAAGUCCGCCUCGCGCGGACCGAGGGAGGAUGGGACCGUUCUCGAACGGACCCCGCACUCCCGGGGCGUCUCGUUCUCAUCGCGAGAAGAGGCGCACCCAGAGCGUACACGCUGGGACCCGAAAGAUGGUGAACUAUGCCUGGUCAGGACGAAGUCAGGGGAAACCCUGAUGGAGGUCCGUAGCGAUUCUGACGUGCAAAUCGAUCGUCGGAACUGGGUAUAGGGGCGAAAGACUAAUCGAAC
rnacentral:rRNA from 1 species